UAUUUAUGCAUACACUCAUUUAAUUCUUUUGUUUAAGACACAUCCUUGGCCUCACCACGUACUUGGCAGAAGAAGAAUGAGGUACCCUCCUUACCUGAAACAACUGGGGACAGAAGACAUAGCUACAAGGCUCCAGACUGUUCCACAAAGGUGAAAUCUUUCAGAUGUAAAACCUGCCCAGUGAACUGGCCAAAGGAAUCUAUUACCAUAGGAUUUGCACAAGCCCUCUUCCCUGGGUGAAAGGUAAGAAGGAUUUUAUUAUGAAUUUAGUGAGAUAG
rnacentral:lncRNA from 1 species